rnacentral:rRNA from 1 species
UAGGGAAUCUUCGGCAAUGGACGAAAGUCUGACCGAGCAACGCCGCGUGAGUGAAGAAGGUUUUCGGAUCGUAAAACUCUGUUGUUAGAGAAGAACAAGGACGUUAGUAACUGAACGUCCCCUGACGGUAUCUAACCAGAAAGCCACGGCUAACUACGUGCCAGCAGCCGCGGUAAUACGUAGGUGGCAAGCGUUGUCCGGAUUUAUUGGGCGUAAAGCGAGCGCAGGCGGUUUCUUAAGUCUGAUGUGAAAGCCCCCGGCUCAACCGGGGAGGGUCAUUGGAAACUUGGAGACUUGAGUGCAGAAGAGGAGAGUGGAAUUCCAUGGGGAGCGGUGAAAUGCGUAGAUAUAUGGAGGAACACCAGUGGCGAAGGCGGCUCUCUGGUCUGUAACUGACGCUGAGGCUCGAAAGCGUGGGGAGCAAACAGG